rnacentral:rRNA from 1 species
UACGUAGGGUGCGAGCGUUGUCCGGAAUUACUGGGCGUAAAGAGCUCGUAGGCGGUUUGUCGCGUCGUCCGUGAAAACUUGGGGCUCAACCCCAAGCUUGCGGGCGAUACGGGCAGACUUGAGUACUACAGGGGAGACUGGAAUUCCUGGUGUAGCGGUGAAAUGCGCAGAUAUCAGGAGGAACACCGGUGGCGAAGGCGGGUCUCUGGGUAGUAACUGACGCUGAGGAACGAAAGCGUGGGUAGCGAACAGG